UACGGAGGGUGCAAGCGUUAUCCGGAUUCACUGGGUUUAAAGGGUGCGUAGGCGGUCUUGUAAGUCAGUUCUGAAAUAUCCCGGCUUAACCGGGAGGGUGGGAUUGAUACUGCAGGACUUGAGUAGAGUCGAGGUAGGCGGAAUUGACGGUGUAGCGGUGAAAUGCUUAGAUAUCGUCAAGAACACCGAUAGUGUAGACAGCUUGCUAGACUCAAACUGACGCUGAGGCACGAAAGUGUGGGGAUCAAACAGG
rnacentral:rRNA from 1 species